GAUGAACGCUGGCGGCGUGCCUAAUACAUGCAAGUCGAGCGAACAGACGAGGAGCUUGCUCCCCUGACGUUAGCGGCGGACGGGUGAGUAACACGUGGAUAACCUACCUAUAAGACUGGGAUAACUUCGGGAAACCGGAGCUAAUACCGGGUAAUAUAUUGAACCGCAUGGUUCAAUAGUGAAAGACGGUUUUGCUGUCACUUAUAGAUGGAUCCGCGCCGCAUUAGCUAGUUGGUAAGGUAACGGCUUACCAAGGCAACGAUGCGUAGCCGACCUGAGCGGGUGAUCGGCCACACGAGAACUGAGACACGGUCCAGACUCCUACGGGAGGCAGCAGUAGGGAAUCUUCCGCAAUGGGCGAAAGCCUGACGGAGCAACGCCGCGUGAGUGAUGAAGGUCUUCGGAUCGUAAAACUCUGUUAUUAGGGAAGAACAAAUGUGUAAGUAACUAUGCACGUCUUGACGGUACCUGAUCAGAAAGCCACGGCUAACUACGUG
rnacentral:rRNA from 1 species